rnacentral:rRNA from 1 species
UACGUAGGGCGCAAGCGUUGUCCGGAAUUAUUGGGCGUAAAGAGCUCGUAGGCGGCUUGUCACGUCGGGUGUGAAAGCCCGGGGCUUAACCCCGGGUCUGCAUUCGAUACGGGCUAGCUAGAGUGUGGUAGGGGAGAUCGGAAUUCCUGGUGUAGCGGUGAAAUGCGCAGAUAUCAGGAGGAACACCGGUGGCGAAGGCAGCUUGCUGGGACGGUACUGACGCUGAGACGCGAAAGCGUGGGGAGCAAACAGG